rnacentral:rRNA from 1 species
AGAGUUUUGAUCAUGGCUCAGGAUGUAUCGCUGGCGGCGUGCCUUACACAUGCAAGUCGAGCGAUCUUCUUCGGAAGAGAGCGGCGGACGGGUGAGUUAUCGCGUGGGUAACCUGCCUCAUACACAUGGAUAACAUACCGAAAGGUAUGCUAAUACAAGAUGAUAUAAGAGAUUCGCAUGGAUUUCUUAUCAAAGCUCCGGCGGUAUGAGAUGGACCCGCGUCUGAUUAGCUAGUUGGUAAGGUAACGGCUUACCAAGGCGACGAUCAGUAGCCGACCUGAGAGGGUGAUCGGCCACAUUGGAACUGAGACACGGUCCAAACUCCUACGGGAGGCAGCAGUGGGGAAUAUUGCACAAUGGGCGAAAGCCUGAUGCAGCAACGCCGCGUGAGCGAUGAAGGCCCUCGGGUCGUAAAGCUCUGUCCUCAAGGAAGAUAAUGACGGUACUUGAGGAGGAAGCCCCGGCUAACUACGUGCCAGCAGCCGCGGUAAUACGUAGGGGGCUAGCGUUAUCCGGAUUUACUGGGCGUAAAGGGUGCGUAGGUGGUUUCUUAAGUCAGGAGUGAAAGGCUACGGCUCAACCGUAGUAAGCUCUUGAAACUGGGAAACUUGAGUGCAGGAGAGGAAAGUGGAAUUCCUAGUGUAGCGGUGAAAUGCGUAGAUAUUAGGAGGAACACCAGUAGCGAAGGCGGCUUUCUGGACUGUAACUGACACUGAGGCACGAAAGCGUGGGGAGCAAACAGGAUUAGAUACCCUGGUAGUCCACGCCGUAAACGAUGAGUACUAGGUGUCGGGGGUUACCCCCCUCGGUGCCGCAGCU